CUAGUACUCCCUCCGUCAAAUACUUGUCAUCAAAAUGGGUAAAAAGAGAUGUAUCUAAAACUAAAAUAUGUUUAGAUACAUUCCCUUUAUCCAUUUUUAUGACAAGUAUUUCCGGACGGAGGGAGUAUCAG
rfam:Triticum aestivum genome assembly, contig: Triticum_aestivum_CS42_TGACv1_scaffold_129453_2BL